UCUGUUAGUCCGGUGUCUAACCUCUGAGCUCAACUUGGAGACAGCAUUGGAAACGGCAGGGCUGGAGUAUGUCAGGGGUAAGCGGAACUAAUAGUGUAGGGGUGAAAUCCGUUGAUAUUAUUGGGAACACCAAAAGCGAAGGCAGCUUACUGGGACAUUACUGACACUGAAACACGAAAGCGUGGGUAGCGAAUGGGAUUAGAUACCCCAGUAGUCCACGCCCUAAACGAUGUUCUCUCGCUAUGUUGAGUAUCGACCCUCAACGUGGCUUAGCUAACGCGGUAAGAGAACCGCCUGGGAAGUACGAUCGCAAGAUUAAAACUCAAAGGAAUAGACGGGGACCUGCACAAGCAGUGGAUUAUGUGGUUUAAUUCGAUGGUAAACGAAGAACCUCACCAGGAUUUGAAACCCACGUGAAAGCCCUAGGAAACUAGGGCCCUCGCAAGACUCGUGGACAGGUGAUGCAUGGCCGUCGUCAGUUCGUGGUUUGAACUGUUCCCUUCAGUGGGGUAACGAACGCAACCCUUAUCGCGUGUUACAAGUGUCACGCGAGACUGCCCCGUAAUCUGGGCAUAAGACAACUUGGAGCAUAGAAUGUAGAUUAGAUAUCGUGCGUAGCAAUACGUAUAUCGUCUAAUCUACAUCCUGUGCUUCACUUUCCGUCUUGUGAGUAGAUUACGGGGAGGAAGGAGAGGAUGACGCCAGGUCAGCAUGUCCCUUUGACAUCCUGGGCUACACACAUAAUACAAUCGCAUAGACAACGGGUCGCGACGAGGUAACUCUGAGCCAAUCCUUCAAACUAUGCGCCAGUUCAGAUUGUGGUCUGCAACUCGACCACAUGAAGCCGGAAUUGCUAGUAAUCGCGGGUCAGCUAAACCGCGGUGAAUACGUUCUCAGGUCUUGUACUCACUGCCCGUCAACUCAAGGGAGCCGG
rnacentral:rRNA from 1 species